ACGAACGCUGGUGGCGUGGAUAAGGCAUGCAAGUCGAACGGGUUUAUUUUUGUUAGCAAUAACUUUAAUAAAUUAGUGGCAGACGAGGUAGUAAUACAUAGGUACGUACCCAAAAGACGGGCAUAAUUCGCCGAAAGGCGAACUAAUUCCCGAUAUUGUGGCAACACGAAAGCCACGCAACUGCGUGGCGCUUUUGGAAUGGCCUAUGGGCUAUCAGCUUGUUGGUAGGGUAACGGCCUACCAAGGCUAUGACGGCUAGAGGGCGUGAGAGCGCGUUCCUCACCGACGGAACUGAGACACGGUCCGUACACCUACGGGUGGCAGCAGUCGAGAAUCUUCGACAAUGGGCGAAAGCCUGAUCGAGCGACGCCGCGUGCGGGAUGAAGUCCUUCGGGAUGUAAACCGCUUUUAGCAGGGAGCAAACAAAUGAGAGUACCUGCAGAAUAAGGGCCUGCAAAUCUCGU
rnacentral:rRNA from 1 species